rnacentral:rRNA from 1 species
CCUACGGGACGCAGCAGUCGGGAAUAUUGCACAAUGGAGGAAACUCUGAUGCAGUGACACCGCGUAUAGGAAGAAGGUUUUCGGAUUGUAAACUAUUUUAGACAGGGAAGAAAAAAGACAGUACCUGUAGAAUAAGCUCCGGCUAACUACGUGCCAGCAGCCGCGGUAAUACGUAGGGAGCAAGCGUUAUCCGGAUUUACUGGGUGUAAAGGGAGCGUAGACGGCAUGGCAAGCCAGAUGUGAAAUACCGGGGCUCAACCCCGGGACUGCAUUUGGAACUGUUAAGCUGGAGUGUCGGAGCGGCA